UGAUGAUGAUGAUGAUGAUGAUGAUGAUGAUAAUUCUUUCUACUGGAAACACAAGGUCUCAGAUUUGGGGGAAGGGAUUAAGUCGAUGACAUUGACACCAGUGCGUAACUGGUACUUAUUUAAUCGACCCCGAGAGGAUAAAAGUCAAAGUCGACCCCGACGGAAUUUGAACUCA